rnacentral:sgRNA from 1 species
GCCGAGAACUAGGGUUACACGAGGGUUUUAGAGCUAGAAAUAGCAAGUUAAAAUAAGGCUAGUCCGUUAUCAACUUGAAAAAGUGGCACCGAGUCGGUGCUUUUUUUCUGCAGAAGCUUCUAGA